rnacentral:lncRNA from 1 species
AUUAAUUUUAAAAUUGAACAAACAAAAUCAAUUUUCGAUUGCAAAUAAAAUAAAAAAUUAUAACAAAUUUUAAUCAUGACUAGGUCUAAUAUAGUUUAACUUCACUAGCGGUGAUACAAACAAGAUGAGGCGACAUGUCAUGAUUUCGUACGUUUAUAAACUGGUGAAUUCUUUUACCCGUUUUAACCUUCACCCUUACAAAGAAUUGCCCGAAGCUCCUAUUUGUUUUAUUAAUUACGUUCAAGUUUAUCAUUUUGCUACCACCAGUACUUUUUUGUUGUAAUUUAAAAUAAAUGACGUUGCAAUCGUUCCACGUAAUGUGAUUGAUAAAUUUAUUCUGAUAUAUAAUUACUAUGGAUGUCAACUCGUUGAAGAAAAAUGUAUCGAGUACUAGUUUAUUUUAUCGUUUGAUUCACGAGUACUUAAUGUAAUGACUAUGACACAUUAAGUCGAAAGUGUUGGUCUAUGAAAUUGUUCACAUGUUGUCUUUGCCAGCUUAAAGGAUAUAUUCCGUGACAUCGUUUCCAAACAGAAAAUUUAGAAUAAACUCACGAAAAGUGCAAAUUAAAGUGAUUUCGAUUGUGGUUCACAAGAACAAUAGUUAUACAUGUACAUGUAAUAUGUCUAAGCAGAAAACCGAAUCGUUGAGUAUCAUUUUUGCUAUUCGUUACACAGUACUACAAUAAACAGACAUUCAAAUACUUGUUAACAUCCCUAGUAAAUGGGGAUUACAUAAAUAAUUUAAAUCAAAAAUAGAUUCAGAUG